rnacentral:snRNA from 1 species
GGUUUCGGGCCUGGAAGAUUACA